GGAGUGUUCGUCUAGUGGUUAGGACGCUGGCCUCUCACGCCGGUAACAGGGGUUCAACUCCCCUACACUCUACCA
rnacentral:tRNA from 1 species